rnacentral:rRNA from 1 species
ACGGAAGGCAGCAGUGGGGGAUAUUGCACAAUGGGGGAAACCCUGAUGCAGCGACGCCGCGUGAGUGAAGAAGUAUUUCGGUAUGUAAAGCUCUAUCAGCAGGGAAGAAAAUGACGGUACCUGACUAAGAAGCUCCGGCUAAAUACGUGCCAGCAGCCGCGGUAAUACGUAUGGAGCAAGCGUUAUCCGGAUUUACUGGGUGUAAAGGGAGCGUAGACGGCGUGGCAAGUCUGAUGUGAAAGCUAUGGGCUCGACCCAUAAACUGCAUUGGAAACUGUCAUGCUAGAGUGUCGGAGAGGUAAGCGGAAUUCCUAGUGUAGCGGUGAAAUGCGUAGAUAUUAGGAGGAACACCAGUGGCGAAGGCGGCUUACUGGACGAUAACUGACGUUGAGGCUCGAAAGCGUGGGGAGCAAACAGGAUUAGAUACCCUGGUA